GAAGGAAGCUUGCUUCCAAUUUAGCGGCGGACGGGUAGAGUAAUAGCCUAGAGAAUCUAGCCUAUUAGUAGGGGGAUAACGUUCCGAAAGAGAACGCUAAUACCGCAUACGUCCUACGGGAGAAAGUGGGGGAUCUUCGGACCUCACGCUAAUAGAUGAGCCUAGGUCGGAUUAGCUAGUUGGUGGGGUAACGAGCUCACCAAGGCGACGAUCCGUAGCUGGUCUGAGAGGAUGAUCAGCCACACUGGAACUGAGACACAGUCCAGACUCCUACGGGAGGCAGCAGUGGGGAAUAUUGGACAGUGGGCGAAAGCCUGAUCCAGCCAUGCCAGCGUGUGUGAAGAAGGUCUUCGGAUUGUAAAGCACUUUAAGUUGGGAUGAAGGGUUGUAAGCUAAUAUCUUGCAGCUUUGAC
rnacentral:rRNA from 1 species